AAUUUUCUUAAAAUUCAUGUCUUAAUCUAUUUUUGUGAAGGAGGGAGGGACUAGGGAGUAUCUGACUAUCUGGCACGAACAUAUCCCAAUUCACUAGUAAUAAAGAAACGCAGACACUAAUUUAAGGGUCUGGUGUUUGGCUGUUGAGCAAAGAAAGAGCGAUGGGAGCAACGGAGGGGCGACGAUUCUCCUUCACCAAACUAGUAAACGCCGGCAAAUUUGCCCUAACCCAAGUGGGUUUGCAAGUAAAUGAUAUUGUGAAAGGAGGAAGGAAGAAAAAUGUUGUGAUGGUGGAAGAGAUGAAUUACAGGCGGCAGCAACGCAGAGCGCCGACCGAUAGAAACGAAGAUGAGGAAGAGCGUCUCAAACGCUUAUUUGACGACCCUCUCAACAACGCCACCAAAAUUUUUAUUCGUUCCCGUCUCUAGAUAGCUGCAAACACAAGUGAAGACCUAUGUGGUCUAUAUCAUUAGAUUAUAGGAUCAAGCAUAAUUUCAUGUAUCCCUAAUUUUUGCAUGUUUUGAAAAAAAAUUACUCCUUCCAAGAACGACAUGAGUUUUAAUAAAAAUUGGUGAAAAAAUUAUUUUAAUAAAA